UAACCUGCCCAAGAGAUCGGGAUAACACCUGGAAACAGAUGCUAAUACCGGAUAACAACAGAUGAUGCCUAUCAACUGUUUAAAAGAUGGUUCUGCUAUCACUCUUGGAUGGACCUGCGGUGCAUUAGCUAGUUGGUAGGGUAACGGCCUACCAAGGCGAUGAUGCAUAGCCGAGUUGAGAGACUGAUCGGCCACAUUAGGACUGAGACACGGCCCAAACUCCUACGGGAGGCAGCAGCU
rnacentral:rRNA from 1 species